GGUUCUAAAAGAGAAAAGCCCUCGCAUUUAAUUUCUCAUACCUGGACCUGCUCUCCCAGCCACUGAAAUACAGUAUAUCCAAGAUCAGUUCUGAUGACCAAGAUCCCAAAGACAAAUUGAAGACCUAGGCCCGAAAACACUGUCCUCCAGGACACCUAGGAUCAAUAAGAAUAUUAUUUCAAUGGUGAAAACUGAGGUUUAGAGAGGAGAGCAUUGGGAUCAGUCAUGGAGCCCUGCCAGGGAUGAUGGGGAUUGAGAGCAGCCAAAUACCCUACAGGAGCCCAUGCAGCAGCCCACAGCUCUGCAGAGAGAAACUAAACUGCUAAAGAAGAGGCAGUAAGAUAGGAGAAGAGAAAUGAAAGGCAGUGGAAUUGAAAUGAAUCAGUGGGCCGCCCAGGGCCCCAGGAUCUGGGCUAUAAAGGUUCCUACUUGGACCCUCAAAGAAAGAGUCACAGGACUGUUUUGCAGGCCUAAGACUUAUGCAGAGGUGGCGCCCGCCCGUAAUCCCAGCACUUCGGGAGGCCGAGACGGGCGGAUCGCUUGAGACCAGCCAGGAUAACAUGGCGAAACCACAUCUCUACAACAAAUACAAAAAUUAGCUGGGCGCGGUGGCACACGACUGUGGUUCCAGUUACUCGGCAGGCGGAGGUGGAAGGAUCCCUUGAGCCUCUGGAGGUGGAGGUUGCAGUGAGCUGUGAUUGCGCCACUGCACUCCAGCCUGGGCGACAGAGUGAGACCCUGUCAG
rnacentral:lncRNA from 1 species